rnacentral:siRNA from 1 species
AACCUAUCUGCGGUAUACUGCA